UACGUAGGGUGCAAGCGUUAAUCGGAAUUACUGGGCGUAAAGCGUGCGCAGGCGGUUGUGCAAGACCGAUGUGAAAUCCCUGGGCUUAACCUGGGAAUGGCAUUGGUGACUGCACGGCUAGAGUGUGUCAGAGGGGGGUAGAAUUCCACGUGUAGCAGUGAAAUGCGUAGAGAUGUGGAGGAAUACCGAUGGCGAAGGCAGCCCCCUGGGAUAACACUGACGCUCAUGCACGAAAGCGUGGGGAGCAAACAGG
rnacentral:rRNA from 1 species